CCACCGCAUCCACACAACCCUGCACUUGUUCGUGGUCUUCCGCCAUGGUCGAUGACAAAGGCGUAGGGUGCGACCGCCUCCCUAAGAUUUAACAAAAAAAUACCACAACCAAUCUAACUUUCCCAAUUCCUUCCAUCGCAACUUUCCUCUGGCGAUCUCCGAUCUACUCAUGCGAUUUUUCCUCAGGUAGACAGGCCUCUCCCCUAUCCCGCUUCCCCCCAAUCUGUCAGCAAGGUAGCAGAGGCGCGACCUCUCUGUGCCCGCCACUGCCUCACAGCAAGGUCACGAGGUCAGUGCGACCUCAGCCACAUGCUCUCAACCUCAAUGCGUGCCCUCGACCAGGCCACGAUACUGAUCUUUCAAGUUGCAUUCCACUAAGUUAGGGUUUGAAGAAUUUCAUCAAGACAGCUAGAGUCAUUUUGUUCAAAAUGCAUAAAUUUGAUGGAGACUACUAUCAUGAGCCAACUUCCAGAUUCCUUGGGUGGCUUAUGCACUUGCUCUAGUAAAAGUGGAUGUUUGAAGUUUAACAAAGGGUCAUAGAAUAAUCCCAACAUUAUGGAGGUUGUACAUAAUGUUGAACCAACAUUGUUUAGGCAUACUAGAUGAAUGUCAAAAGGAGAUGAAGCCUUUGUAAGGUCGUAUCUUUUAAACAUAAGUUUUUUCAUCUAGCUUUUUGUUGUUCCUCAUUUUUUUUGGACACAUUGUGUAAUGUCCUUUAUUGAAAUUUCUUUUAUCCUUCUUCAUUGUUUUUGGAUGAACUAUCCUUUCUUCUUCAUCUUUAGGGAAGAAAUAGCGGUACAUGGACAAUUGAUUAAGGAUCAAAUAUUGAUGAUCAAGUUCCUAAAACUAUCGAGCAUAGACAUCUAGCUGUUAUGGAAAAAAGAUUUAGGACGAGAAGUUUUUGAAUGAAUACAUAAUAGAAAGCAAGGUACCCAGUUUAUUGACAACAAAUUGGUAUUCAUAAAGAAAAGCUUAUCGAAGAAGGUAGGAAAAUUGAAGAAAAAUUGAAGAAGAUGGUUCGUAAGAUAAUUCAAGAGGUGGAAUAUAUAAUCAUUCAUAUUCAGAAGGAUCUAGUCCCUGUGAGUGUCGUGAUAAAUGAAAUAUAUAUUAAAUUAUUGUACUUGGAUUUAAAAAUUUAUCAGUAUCUUACAAUUUGAUUAUGAUGAAAUUUA